GUAACAAUUUUCUGUAGUUUUCACAGCAUUAUUACUGUAAAAUGAGCAAAUGCUUACUGUAGAACCUGUAUACAGCAUGUUACUGUAGAUUUGCAAAGCAUCAUGGUCAAUUUUCAAUGGCGGGUAAAUUCUACAGUAAAAAUAUUUUUUUUCUGUGAAUCACAAUACAGCAAUUUCUAGAGGAUUUUUUUUCCAGCCGUGGAAAGCUGAAAAGCUACGAGAUUCCACACUUUCAUCGGAAUUUUAACUUAAGAAAGCCGCUAAAGUCAACUGUCACCGCCGACACCGCGUGCGUGCGCGUGAAGCCAGCCGACUCCCGACUCGACAGAAAACGCAGCUAGAGGUUGCAGCAAAGAGGCCUCAACAAUCGUUCAAGAUUCUUCAUCAGGAUAAAUCCAGAGCACAGCAAGUGCAAUUCGAAGGUCCAGGUUAGCAGAAGAACUGGGAAGGUGGUCCAAAGAAAAAACGAGUCCCUCAAUCCACACGUGGCAUUGUUCAUCAGGGACUUCAUUGAGUAUGACUGGAAGAACAACUAAUACCAGGGUAGAAGACUCCAGCCCAGGAAAUUGACUAGUUCAGGCCCGUUUUUGAAGAAAAACAACGUUCAGGGACCAAAUUCUACUGUUUUAAAUCCUGCUGUUUUUAAAUCAUUUAAUUUGUCUUUUAUACAUUCUAAUUUUAACCGAACAUUUUAAUACAUUUGAACAGGAUUGAUUUGUAUGUUCAGAAAAGUGUUGUAUACAAAACGAAAUGAAAUGUUUGUGACAUUUUUGUGACAAAAACAGUGUCUUCAUUUUACAGUACACAAAAUUAAUGCAGUAAUCCCUAUUACAGUAGUAAAAUAUGUGAGGUGAUGAAACACAGUACUGUGAUUAUUACUGUAAAAAAGUUUUACAGUAUUUUUAAAGUUACUGCAAUUAAGUUUACAGUAAGCAUACUGUGAAAUGAACUACAGCCACUUACUUGCUAAUUGCUGCCAGCAAGUUACUGUAAAUUUCACAGUAUUCUAUUUACAGUGUAGUUAGUUAGUUUUUUUUUUUAAGAAAACAAGUAGUUAGUAAAUUAAUACAGUGCAAGUCUAAAAGGGGCAAGUUUUUAUUAAAUUAUUUUUUUUUUAUAAGAAUAGAAUUAGAAGAGAGAUUGCUAGAGUUAGAGGGUCAAAUAAAGAUGGAAGAGAUGUGUUUUUAGCCGAUUCUUGAAGAUGGCUAAGGACUCAGUUGCUCAGACUGAGUUGGGCACCACAUUCCACCAGAAGGGAACAUUUAAUGUAAAAGUCCGUGAAAGUGAUUUUGUGCCUCUUUGGGAUUACUUGCAGAACGCAAGCUUCUAGAAGGCACAUAAGUCUGAAGUAAUGAAUUUAGGUAAA